CCCCGCAGCAAAUUCCAUGAAAAGUCGGUUACUAAAUUAUGCAUAAAUUCGAUUACUAACCUUAAUUUCAUUAAAAACCCAUCAAAAUCCCCUCUCCUAGUAAGUACUAUAUCAAAAUCUCAUCAUUAAAUUUAUAUCUUGAGAAAUUCAAAUCCAAAAAAUAUGAUAUUUUAAUAUCAACCUCUAAUCCGAUGCGAUAGAAAAUUGUGCGUGCACACGUGCCGUCGAUUGCCUUCACGGAUUUUUUACAAUCCCUCUCUCCUGCUCUCUCUCUCUCUCUCUCUCUAUCUA
rnacentral:lncRNA from 1 species